GUGCUCGCUUUGGCAACACAUAUACUACAAUUGGAAUGAUACAGAGAAGAUUAGCAUGGCCCCUAUGCAGGGAUGACACGCAAAUUUGUGAAGUGUUCCAUAUUUUU